AAAAAAAUACAGUUGCCUACCAGGAAAAGUCAUUGAUCGCUAUCUUCAUCUUCCUCCUGCGCACUAAAACCACUAAAGUCGUCUUCUUCAGUGUCGGAAUUGAACAGCCUCAGAAUUACCGGUACUUCGUCACACACUUCCUCAGUCUCUCUUUCGGUGUCGCUCUCAAUGUCACUUACGUCUCGAGGCAAAUUCGCCCUUGAGCUUGUGCUGUCCUCUUCAUCACGCAGCAGUCCAGCCUUUCGAAACCCGCUGGUGAUGGUAGAUUUUAUGACACUGCUCCACGCUGUUAGGAUCCACUGGCAGACUGGAGCAAAAGUUGCUCUUCGCAUGCUAUUUCCUUCUUCGACAGCCAGAUCGAUCGCCUUUAACUUGAAAGCUGCAUCAUAUGCAUUUCUUCGUGUGUUUUCCGUGAUGAGGGGGUGUGCAUGAAGCGCAAAAUGACUGAUCUGAAGAAUUUAGUGAAGCUUUGCUGCUGAUAGUGCACUAUCAACCCUUUUCUUGUCAGCUGGAAACAUCUUAUAGAUACUAUGGCAUAAUGUUUUUGCAGGUAGACUUGUCUGCAGGCGUUGACCCUUUGGGGGUUGUAGGCAAUGGCCAAGAUGUCAUCGGCCCAGUUCUGAUGGAGG